AUGCUCUUCUCAGCUCUUCCCCAAGAGAAGGAUCUGAGUAGUACACUCCAUGGCCACAACAGUGUUCAAAGUGUUGUUUGUCACUGUUCACAAUUGUUUGGCCUUGGAAAUCUGACAAUGGCUCCCGUAACAAGGAAGGACACAGUUGGGAUUCUGCACAUCUCCACCUUCAACCUUCAUUGUGGAGCAAAAGAAACUGAUACACGGACCAUUCUCUUCUUGCCUGGAAGUACUUACUUCCCUGAAUCCAGAGUUAACUGCCAUAUUUCUGCUCUCAGAAGAACUUCAAACCUUCCCUGUUACUGUCACCUCGCUCCUUUCCAAGGCAAGAGAUUUAAUGAGCUCACUCCAGACGUGGGAAAACCUUAAUGCAAGGCAGAGAGCAAGCCCAGGAGGAAUGGGAAACAAAGUAGGAGAAUUUUGAUGUUGUAGAGGAGGCUGAAGUAGAGAAAGGUCCAGAGUAGUAAAGGAAGGAGGAGGGGGCCUCUGAAAAGGGAUAGAGAUCCAGUUUGGUCUGAGGAGGACAGCAGCAGAGCAGGCUCCCGAGGCUGCGCAAGAUCAGUGACAGGUGUGUGAACUGGAUUCAUGGGUGGUGUGUGCAGAAAGGAAUUAUAAGUUCUUCAAACCCCCCACAUCUUCUAAAUUUGCCAAGGUUAAUUGGAGAGUGAAUCAAGGUCCACAACGUUUUAGCUAUAAAAAUAGAACUGCUCAUGCCAAGUAAAAGUUUUUGCUGAGGAUGCAUCUAGGAGGCAAUACUGUAAAUAGUCCCUCCUCAAGAGAUAUAUGUCACAAAUUUUGAGUUUGGAAAGAAUUUUUGUUUCCCUCAAUUGUGACCCUGACAUUUGUGGGCCCCGGGGCAAGAGAAUAAGUGGAAGCCCAUAUACAAUAGCUCUAAAUGUUUAAAAGUUAUAAAUUCAUCUAACAGACUAUUUUUUUUUCUUUUUCUUUUUUUUUUUUUUUUUGAGACGGAGUCUCACUCUGUCGCCCAGGCUGGAGUGCAGUGGCCGGAUCUCAGCUCACUGCAAGCUCCGCCUCCCGGGUUUACGCCAUUCUCCUGCCUCAGCCUCCCGAGUAGCUGGGACUACAGGCGCCCGCCGCCACGCCCGGCUAGUUUUUUGUAUUUUUUAGUAGAGACGGGGUUUCACUGUGUUAGCCAGGAUGGUCUCGAUCUCCCGACCUCGUGAUCCUCCCGUCUCGGCCUCCCAAAGUGCUGGGAUUACAGGCUUGAGCCACCGUGCCCGGCCCUAACAGACUAUUAAAUAAAACUAAUUCUAUCUUCCUACCAUGGCAAAUAUAACUUCAUUAUGCAAAAUAAAAAUAUGUAUAAAGGUAUCUUAUGUGGCUGUUUGCCAAAUAUUAAAGGCAACUGAAUUUAAUUGUUAAUAAGUUCUGUUCUGGGUGUUCGGUUAUUAAGAUAGUGAUGUUUAGAUGAGUAAUAAUAUCAGGACAUAAUUAUUCUAUGAUUACAUAUUUAUUGCAAAAAUGUUUUGGCCUUCAUUUUAGCAAAAUUACUAAUUAUAUUGCCAUAAUCAUAAUUUUACUUAUUUUAUAUUCUAUUGACAAC
ensembl:lncRNA